UGCACCAAUCAGGACUCGAACCUGGAAGCGUCUGUACAGCAGCCUAACCUCUUAGCCACUAGGCUAUGGAGGA